GCCAGCAUGGUGCAGUGGUUUGAGCCUUGGACUGUGACUCUGAAGACCAGGGUUCGAAUCACAGCUUGGCC
rnacentral:tRNA from 1 species